rnacentral:misc_RNA from 1 species
UUUCACAAAGUGAACCAUUCAUUAAACGAACAUCAUUCAAACACAAAAGGUUCCUGAUUGAAUUCUACACCUGACCAUUCUCAAUUACAGAACAAUUUUCCAACUGCUUCAACCUAAAACAAGAGCAUACACAUAAUUUGAUAUAUAAAUAACUAGUAAAGAUCAGAUUCCUGGUGAGUAUGAAUCACACAAUCUGAGGUUGGGUAAGAAACACAUGUGAGCACAUAGCCCUCCUCUAUUUGAUUAUCAUCCAGAAAAGAUCCAUCGGAUUGAUCAACAGAUCCUGAUACAAUCUUCCCAGCACAUGUUGAGCAUGCACCUGCCCUGCAAGAAUAAGGGAGUUCGACUCCAGCAUUUUCAGCUGCAUCGAGUAUGUAAGUAUCUGAAGAUGCCUCGAGUUCAUGCUCAACACCAUCUGGACAAACCAACUUGACCUUGUAAACUGCUGAUGCUGCUACUCUAAAGCCAGAGCUAGACUUCAAUCCAAAGCCCUUAGAAAUGCUCCUUACAAACCCCAGAGACACUGGGGUCUUAAUGAAGACACUCUUUCUUUGGGUGUGAGGAGCAGUUUUUACUAUAGAGGUUGCAGCAAGUCCGACAGUUGACAUGUUCACUGGAGAAGGAAGGCGGAGUAAUCAAGGACGAGCAGAGAGGAUUAGAA